GUUCAAUCACAGCAAAAAGUGAAGUGAAGUGAAGUCGCUCAGUCGUGUCUUUGCGACCCCAUGGACUGUAGCCUACCAGGCUCCUCCCUCCAUGUGAUUCUCCAGGCAAGAGUACUGGAGUGGGUUGCCAUUUCCUUCUCCAGGGGAUCUUCCCGACCCAGGGAUCGAACCUGGGUCUCCGCAUUUCAGGCAGACGCUUUAACCUCUGAGCCACCAGGGAAGCCCAAUCCCAGCAAAGGAUGUAAUCAACUGUGCCCACUACGAAGCCUGGAUUAAAAACUCUUGAAAACAGUGAGGUUCAGGGAGGUUCCAAAUUUGUGAACACAUUCAUGGGCUGAGAGGGUGGCACACCCAGAGGUGGCACAGACUCUCUGUGCCCCCAACUUCCUACUUACCCUAUAGAGUUGUAACAUUCAUAAUACAUUUGUCUUAUCCUGAGUUGUAUCAUUUAUAAUUAAGCGGUGCCGUCAACCCUCUAUAACCACAGGUUUCAAAUCAGGAGAUUCGAGUAGCUGCUAAUUGAAGGUCAGUGGCUGAUUGAAUCUGCAGAUGCGAAACCAGCGCACAUUUGGAAGAUUUACUGUAAUCACAGGCCUGGCGCCAUUUUACAUCUGGGGCCUGCUCAUUGGUGAAUUUUGGUACCUGUUGCUGCUGCUGCUAAGUUGCUUCAGUCGUGUCCGACUCUGUGCGACCCCAUAGACGGCAGCCCACCAGGCUUCCCUGUCCCUGGGAUUCUCCAGGCAAGAACAUUGGAGUGGGUUGCCAUUUCCUUCUCCAUUGUGUGAAAGUAAAAAGUGAAAGUGAAGUCGCUCAGUCCUGUCCGACUCUUCGCGACCCCAUGGACUGAGGGGUCUCCCAAAAUCAGUCCCCUGAGGAUGCUGAGGAACGACUAUAAUUGUGACGAAACUACGUUGGAGAAGUUAAGUAAUUUGCCCAAGGUGACGCAGCUGGUAAGUCGUAUCUCAGAUAUUUGGACCUAGGCAGUUCAACUCUGGGGUCCACGCUCUUAACAUCUGCACAGCACUGCACCCUGGAAGGACAGAUGUUCCACUUUCUUCCCCUUUUACCCACAGAAUCUAAAGGAAUUAGACAAACAGAGAAGGGAGACUCCUGGUCCACACAGAUGAGUGACCACGCUGGCUCCGAGACCACUGUCAGGAGGUGGAGAAAACACCAACAGGCAUUUGAUUUGCUCUCAGGAACCAGGAGCACAUGGGUAGUCAAGAUUUGAAAAGGAGAGUGAAACAGUGUUCUGCAGAAACUUCUAAAGCUGUCAGGGAUCAGAAACUCUUCAAUUCCAACCUCAUACUGAAAUUUAACAUCCUUCAUUAAAUAUGUGGAAUUUUAAAUAAAUGUUACCUAUAUUCACACCAUACUUUCUCUGAUAGAAUGUUUGUAUCAUUUACUUAUCCUUUCAACUUUUAAUGCGGCCACGGAUUUUUAAGAGCUAAUCAGAAUUCCCUAAUAUGGUGAUUUUAAUAAGUAUUUUUCUUUCAUUUAAACACUAAAUGUUUUGGUCCAGAAUUCUGAUAAACUGCUUAUUAUUUCUGAAAAACUUAGGUUGCCCAUCUUGAUAAAAUGUGAUGGCAUAAAGAAAGACAGGAUCUUAUUUAUGCCAAAUGAAUU
ensembl:lncRNA